GAAUGCUUAAAAUGUUGAUGUGCAUUGUUAACUAAGUCAUGAAGGAAAGCAAAGAGCAGGAGCUUUACUUCAUAUGAUAUUCCAUUUAUUUUACUUAAUGCUAUGUGUGGAACUCCGUUAUCUGAGGUGGCUGAUCGAAACAAUCAUCCUUAUAUCGUUAGAUUUUUUGACCCAGAUGAAGAUGUGGUGCCACAGUACUUUUUUGCUAUAGAGCAAAAAUUGCACUGUGAAUGUAGUGCAUUGUCAACAUCCAUCUUUAAUUUAGUACAUUACAUCUUUAAUAUUGAAUAGACUGAAAGUUGGAAGUAUAUAUUUUGAUUUUUUAGCAGUUUACAUUGGAUAUAAA